CCGUAAGAGGAAUGAUGGAGGUUCUUAAAAUGCUGGUUUACUUAGAUUCUGCAUCUGAAAUGGACAGUAGAG